AAAAAUUGUAAACACCGACUUGGCAUGGGAUGAUGGACAAAUGUGGAAAAGUUCAGCAGAAGGUUUCAUGUGUAUUUGAGACUGAAAUACUAAAUGAACCUUCAAAUAAAAGACAAUUUCAAGGCUACAAAGUUGUUGCGUCGGAUGUUUUAAAAAACACGGCGCUUUUGAGUGAUGUAACGCGGUCGAUUGCAACAGAAAAAUUGGAUGGGACCUGUGUAUUUAUUGCAGAAUUUAAAGGUCGUCCAUGGUUGUGGGCUCGGUUGGACAGGAAACCAAAUAAAGCUGGCGACAAGCGAUUCAAGCAGUACAGGUCUUCACUUCAGAAGUGGGAACAAAGCUCUCAAGAUCUACCUAAGCCCUCACUUGAAUGGGACAUGGAGAAAGAUUUUAAGCAAGUUCCAGAGCAUUGGAUUCCUGCCUCUGAUGUCCCCAUUGUAAAUGGCCAUCCUCAGCCAGAUCAAAAUGGACACACCCCAGGUUGGGUUCCAGUGGAGAAGACUUCGCGACAGUAUUGCUGGCAUGCCUCGGCUGUUGACUUGGACCGAUCUCUUGGAUUGUUUAUGGGACAGGGGGAGGUUGUGAGUGGGGCUCAUCAUCUGCAGAUCCGUGUAUUACCUCUACAGAGUGUUCUUGGCCACACAGCAGAGCUGAUAGGAACACACAUCAAUGCCAAUGCCUACAGUAGGGAAAUACAGUCACGUGGUCCUUAUGUAACUUUCAAUAGUACCUGAAAGUAUUUAGAUAAAAAUUCUACUUUAAACUUUUUUUUUGAAAUAAAUAAAAACAUUUUCCUCUGCAGAUUGUGUAAUUAAUUGUUCUUUUUACUUAACCUUUCCAUUUGUAUUUUUUUUUUCACUGACACUUUGGUGUUUUUCCUUACAUGACUUUAUUUCAUCCUCCUCUCCAUCUCUGAAGUUCCAAAAAAAAUCUGGUCUGUUUUUAACUUACAGUAAUAUCAUUUUUUUUUUGUCUAUAACAAGCUAUAUACACAUAUGAAUUAAUAUCUGUCUGGGUAUCUAUACUGUCAUAAUUUCAGCCACUACAGUGAGUGCUUGUAUAUACUGACCUUUCAAUUGAUGUACCGGUACUUGUGUCUAUAUAUAUUGAAGUCUUAUGAUGUAGGAGAGGGCAUUCUAAAGUUUUCAGAACUUGUACCUUGUCCUUUUGUUUUCACCAUCAAACAAUGAAAUAUAUUUACAUUUGCAAAUGUGUUUUCUUAUAUAAACCUUUAGAAUAGCAAAAACUUUCAAUUCUGUGUGAACCUUCUCAUGACAUCACAAUGAUUAUGACACGCUCAUAUCUCUUGUUGGUUGGAUUAUUGUAAGCAUAUAAACACUGCAAUUUUAAAAAUUCUGGACGAUUUGCCUCUUUCAAAUGUAAAUAUAAGUGAUAAACAGCAAUGUUAAAAAGUUCACCAGCUAGGAUAUGAAUUAACUUGGUUGGUCACAUGAUCUUCUGAGAAGCCCUUUGGGCUCCACAGGGUUUGAUCAUGUGACCAACCAAGUUCAUAUCCUAGUGAACAUAGAUGAUGGUUGGGAAUGGGGGGCGGGGGGAUGCUGAGGGAGGUCCUGCUAAGAUUAAUUUUUACUUUUUCAAUUCUGAAUAUACAGUGUACAGUAUACAUGUAUUAUAAUUUACAUUAAUUUUGCCUCCAGAUAUAGGCAGCAAAAGAGAUCCGCUUCAUUUCCUGGUGAUUCAUGGAUCCAUCACUUUGUCCGAACCACCUGAAGUUUCUCUCCCAGCAAUCCAAACUUGGUUUUCCACAGAGCAAGGACUAGUCGAGGGGAUUGUUUGGCACUGCUCUGAUGGCAAACUGUUCAAAAUUCACAGACACCAUCUAAAUUUGCCCUGGCCACUGAAAGAUGUAACGCCUGUUUUGACUCGAAAAAAAGUGGAAAUUCUCUUGGACAAUUUUGAUAGUGAAUCCAAGGAUGAUGUGAAUCCAGUUUUUUUGAAGCUGAAAAAACAUUCUAACAGGACUUGUGAUUCUGUUGUGGACUUGGCUCAACUGUUGGAAAAGGAUGAAAAUAAAAAUGAAUGAAAAUCAG
rnacentral:misc_RNA from 1 species